AUUGAACGCUGGCGGCAGGCCUAACACAUGCAAGUCGAGCGGAGCAGCGGACGGGUGCGUAAGGCCUAUGAAUCUGCCUGGUCGUGAGGGAUAACGUCCGUAAAUGGGCGCUAAUACUACAUACUAUCAGAUGAGCCUAUGUCGGGUUAGCUAGUUGGUGGGGUAAAGGCAUACCCAGGCGACGGUCCGUAACUGGUCUGAGAGGAUGAUCAGUCACACUGUAACUGAGACACGGUCCAGACUCCUACGGGAGGCAGCAGUGGGGAAUAUGGGACAAUGGGCGAAAGCCUGAUCCAGCCAUGCCGCGUGUGUGAAGAAGGUCUUCGGAUUGUAAAGCACUUUAAGUUGGGAGGCGUUACCCACAGAAUAAGCACCGGCUAACUUCGUGCCAGCAGCCGCGGUAAUAC
rnacentral:rRNA from 1 species